CAGCCUGCCCAGUGACUCUGUUCAACGGCCGCGGUAUCCUAACCGUGCGAAGGUAGCGUAAUCACUUGUUCUUUAAAUGAGGACUAGUAUGAAUGGCACCACGAAGGUUAUACUGUCUCCUUUCUCUAAUCAGUGAAACUAAUCUCCCCGUGAAGAAGCGGGGAUGAAAAUAUAAGACGAGAAGACCCUAUGGAGCUUCAAACAAAUAUACAACUGCCUAUUCCACUAAAAAUUUCAGGAAAAAAACACCUAUCCAGGCACUUUGAUAUAGAGUUUUAGGUUGGGGUGACCACGGAGUAAAAAACAACCUCCGUAAUGAAAGGGAAUUUUCCCUAAACUAAGGACUACAACCCUAAGUAUCAAUAAAUUGACACCAAUUGACCCAAUACAUUUGACCAAUGAACCAAGUUACCCUAGGGAUAACAGCGCAAUCCACUUCAAGAGCCCCUAUCGACAAGUGGGUUUACGACCUCGAUGUUGGAUCAGGGUAUCCUAGUGGUGCAGCCGCUACUAACGGUUCGUUUGUUCAACGAUUAAAACCCUACGUGAUCUAU
rnacentral:rRNA from 1 species